rnacentral:rRNA from 1 species
CCCUUAGAUGUUCUGGGCCGCACGCGCGCUACACUGAUGCAUUCAACGAGUCUAAAACCUGCUCUGAUAGGGGUGGGUAAUCUUUUGAAUGUGCAUCGUGAUUGGGAUAGAUGAUUGCAAUUUUUCAUCUUCAACGAGGAAUGCCUAGUAAACGCAAGUCAUCAGCUUGCAUUGAUUACGUCCCUGCCCUUUGUACACACCGCCCGUCGCUCCCACCGAUUGAAUGAUCCGAUGAAUAUCAUGGAUUGAGGAUUAUAGCAGGUUCGCCUGUCUUGAUCUUCGAGAAGUGAAGUAAAUCUUAUCAUUUAGAGGAAGGAGAAGUCGUAACA